AUUGAACGCUGGCGGCAGGCCUAACACAUGCAAGUCGAGCGAGCGGCGGACGGGUGAGUAAUGUAUGGGGACUGCCCGAUAGAGGGGGCUAACUACUGGAAACGGUGGCUAAUACCGCAUACUAUCGGAUAACCCAUAGGGGAUUAGCUAGUCGGUGGGGUAAAGGCUCACCUAGGCGACGAUCGCUAGCUGGUCUGAGAGGAUGAUCAGCCACACUGGGACUGAGACACGGCCCAGACGCCUACGGAGGCAGCAGUGGGGAAGAUUGCACAAUGGGCGCAAGCCUGAUGGAGCCACGCCGCGUGAAUGAAGAAGGCCUUAGGGUUGUAAAGUACUUUCAGCGGGGAAGCGUUACCCAAAGAAGAAGCACCGGCUAACUACGUGCCAGCAGCCGCGGUAAUAC
rnacentral:rRNA from 1 species